UGCGUAGGCAGCGAGCGUUGUUCGGAGUUACUGGGCGUAAAGGGUGUGUAGGCGGUUGUUUAAGUUUGGUGUGAAAUCUCCCGGCUCAACUGGGAGGGUGCGCCGAAUACUGAAUGACUAGAGUGCGGGAGAGGUGAGUGGAAUUCCUGGUGUAGCGGUGAAAUGCGUAGAUAUCAGGAGGAACACCGGUGGUGUAGACGGCUCACUGGACCGUAACUGACGCUGAGACACGAAAGCGUGGGUAGCAAACAGG
rnacentral:rRNA from 1 species